GCCCAAUCAAAAACCUUCUAGAUGCUCAUCCUAACAACAAUCAAUCACUCUCCAUUUCUAAACAGUUUCAUUAUCAGAAAAAGCCUCUAUCUUCGCCAAAACUACACAGAAUACAACUUUCCUCCCAAAAGACUUCCAAAACAGUUUGCCCUUCCUUAAUUUGGUUCCCUCGUCUUCUUCGCAGCAAAAUGACUUCUUGCAAAGGAUGAAACACUCCCCACCAGGUAAAACUCCUCACUCCUUUUCAAAGAUUCUAUUGCAAAAGUAUGGGCUAGUCCAUUAGUCGAUCUAGGAACAUGUUUGAAAGUGAUUGCUUGAAAACAUCCUUUUAGCUGACGAAAAUUCUGAAUGUAAGCCCCUAUAUGUGAUUUAUCUUGAUAUUGGGAUUGAAAUUUUUGAAUAAUGGUUAAUUCAUCUCCUCGACUUCUACCUCCUACCACCCGUUCUCUAACCCCAAUCGCAUCGCUCGAUGACUAGCGAUGGCUUCAGCUGCGAAAGCUGAGGGAAGCCCCUCGUGGUUCUCCGACUUUGAAACCAGUACUUCCCUCUCAGCAUCUCUCGCAACAAUACAUGAGGCCGACCUAUUCCUCUGUCUGUCAUAAGUUCCAUCGAAAUUAAUUUUGAUGAUAGUUCCCAUGGGUUGCUUCCAUUCUACCGCCUCUUUUGCCUUGAUUUCUCAGAUACAAACUUUCUUUCAUGGACUCUGGUAUUUCUAUCACGCCAAAUUACCCAAAGUGCACAACAAAGAAGACACAGCUCGAGUAAACCACUGAUCAAAUGCUAGAUCCAAAUUAUUGAGAAUAUGAAAGAGUAUAAACUCUGACCAAACCUCCACUGAAACAACACAUAUUCGAAAGAGGUGAUCAAUAUUUUUUUCUGCCCUUCCACAACGAGGACAACAAGCUGUAUUAACCAAUUUUUUGUAUUUCAUAUUAGCCAAAGUAGGUAGAUAGUUCCAAGAGCACCUCCAAAUUGUAAUUUUAAUUUUCCCAAGGAGGUUAAGGCCCUAUAGCUUUUUUUAGAAAUCACUAGUUUCGACUUGUAAAGCAUAAGCAUUAGGUUCCAUAGGAUUCCUCUAUAAUACUUUAUAAGCGCUACGGACAGGGAACUCCCCCGAGGCUUCCCCACCCCACGCAAGCAUAUCCUCUUGGGCCUCAAUCGCCAAUAGGAUACAAAAAAUUCUUUGGGCGUCCACCGACGAGAUGGCUUGUGCCAAGCUUGUGUUGGAUUGAUUCAUGUCUAUGUUUAGGAUUAUGCAUUGAAAUGAUUAUCGGAAGAUCGAUUGCUUUGGAAGUUCGUCGGAGACCUAUCACACUAUCCAAUGACUAUAUCGAUAGAUUUUGAUGUUUUGAGUCAUGGUUAUAAUGACAUGAAUAGGUGAAUUAUGUUUAAUGAAAUGGUCAUUAUAUUUGGCUUGUAAAUGUGGUAUUAUGAUUGAUGAACUUUUGGCAUUUUAAUGCGUUGAUGGUUGUGUUGAGAUGGUCAAGUGAAUUUAUGUUUUGAAUGACCAAUUUGGUAUGUUAAGUUGUGGUUUGACAGA